GCAAAUGAAGUAACCAAUUAUUCAAAUUUGAGUUGUUGUUGUUGUUGUUUGCUCUUCUCCGACUUCUUC
ensembl:ncRNA C56G2.17 ncRNA